UGUUGAUCCGUACCAAGUGGGCAUCGCCGGGAGGUGGUCCGAGCGGCCGGUGUGGGGCCGCUGCUGCGGGGCUCAGCCACCUGCGCUGCCUGCCAGGGGGCGGGUCGAAACCUGGAGGCCCGGGGGGCCCAGCUCCCGUGGGGAGCCGUGGGCGCCCGCUGCCCGGGCCGGCCGGUGAGUGACAGGAGCCGGGCCGAAAGACCGGCCUGACGCCGCGGGGCGGGCGGCGGCGGGCGCGGGGUUGGAGCUGGCGCGCGCAGGGAAGGGGUAGCGGCUGAGCAUCGCUCGAUCGUCCUGACGGGCCGCCCGUGGAGCCUCCUAGAUGCUGGUGCCGAGGUCGGAGGACGGCCUCGGGGUGGAGGUCCGAGAGUCCCGCUCCCGAGGUGUAGCGGGAAACUAGUUUCUGUGACUACAGCCCUGGGCUCCGCUGACCCGCAGCUCUGAAACGUGUCCAGUGCCAGCUUGAUGCUCUCCGGGGUCUUGUGUUGUUCCCAGGAAACUACAGCUGUUUGGUCAGGAGAUCUUUUUGGAGAAGAUGCUGAAACCAGAGGCAGCUGGUGGCCUGUUGCUGUUUCCCUUACUUGUGAGAAGAGAGAGAAGUUGACACCUUAUGGAGGCCCAUCCUCAUUCUGCAAGAGGCAGCAGAACCUGCUCAAGUGCAUGACUGAAGCCUGAGAACAGAAAGCAAUUCUGCAUCUCAGAAGGGGCUACGCGGCUCAACCCGCUUCCUGGCUAAGAUGCCACUUUUGACUCUUGGAAAACAUGUAUUGGUUCCUUGACCGGGGAUCGAACCCAUGCCCCCUGCAGUGGA